GGGAAAAGUGUGAAAAUUCAAGUAAUUAAGCAAUCAAAGGUGGUGAGCCCUCUAGCAAGGGUAAAGAUGUUGUAUCAGAGGACUGAGAAUAGGAGUAUUUCAAACUCCUGAUACAGCUCAGGAUAGUCGGUAGAUAGCUCAUUUCGUUGA
rnacentral:sRNA from 1 species